rnacentral:rRNA from 1 species
CCUACGGGUGGCUGCAGUAAGGAAUAUUGGUCAAUGGGCGCGAGCCUGAACCAGCCAUGCCGCGUGCAGGAAGACGGCCUUAUGGGUUGUAAACUGCUUUUAUCGGGGAAUAAAACUUUCUACGUGUAGAGAGCUGAAGGUACCCGAAGAAUAAGCAUCGGCUAACUCCGUGCCAGCAGCCGCGGUAAUACGGAGGAUGCAAGCGUUAUCCGGAUUAAUUGGGUUUAAGGGGUAUGCAGACGGAUUGGUAGAAAUUCUAGUGCUUAACAUUAGACCUGCCAUUGAUACUGUCAGGCUAGAGUAUAGUUGGAGUGGGCGGAAUGUGUCAUGUAGCGGUGAAAUGCUUAGAUAUGACACAGAACACCGAUCGCGAAGGCAGCUCACUAAGCUAAAACUGACGCUCAUGCACGAAAGCGUGGGGAUCAAACAGGAUUAGAUACCCGAGUAGUC